UACAGAGGGUGCGAGCGUUUAAUCGGAAUUACUGGGCGUAAAGCGUGCGUAGACGGUCAAGUAAGUCGGGUGUGAAAGCCCCGGGCUCAACCUGGGAACCGCGCUUGAGACUGGAGAACUAGAGUUCGGGAGAGGAUGGUGGAAUUCCCAGUGUAGAGGUGAAAUUCGUAGAUAUUGGGAAGAACACCGAUGGCGAAGGCAGCCAUCUGGACCGACACUGACGCUGAGGCGCGAAAGCGUGGGGAGCAAACAGG
rnacentral:rRNA from 1 species